AUACGUAGGUGGCAAGCGUUGUCCGGAAUUAUUGGGCGUAAAGCGCGCGCAGGUGGUUCCUUAAGUCUGAUGUGAAAGCCCCCGGCUCAACCGGGGAGGGUCAUUGGAAACUGGGGAACUUGAGUGCAGAAGAGGAUAGUGGAAUUCCAAGUGUAGCGGUGAAAUGCGUAGAGAUUUGGAGGAACACCAGUGGCGAAGGCGACUGUCUGGUCUGUAACUGACGCUGAGGCGCGAAAGCGUGGGGAGCAAACAGGAUUAGAUACCCUGGUAGUCCACGCCGUAAACGAUGAGUGCUAAGUGUUGGGGGGUUUCCGCCCCUCAGUGCUGCAGCUAACGCAUUAAGCACUCCGCCUGGGGAGUACGGUCGCAAGACUGAAACUCAAAGGAAUUGACGGGG
rnacentral:rRNA from 1 species